UGCAGCGGCGUGAGGCGGGACGCGGGGCCCGGGCUGCCGCUGCUGCCAUCGGCUGUGAGGAGAGCGACUGCAGGGGGCAACCCCCCCGCCCGGGAGAGCUGCUCAUUAGCCACAGGGACCCGCGGUCAUUAAGGCUGGGUAGCCUCGGGGGCCUCUCCUGCAGCCACCCUCAAGGCAGGGACGGGAAGAAAAAGAACAAGCCCAGCAGAGAAAAUGCUUGUCUGGUUCCCCUGUGCUCUAAUACCCAGAGCAAGAAAAAUACCAGUGGGAGACUGGUAUCCGGAUCUGAGCAUGUACUGGCAACCUGAGCAUCAAGUGUAACUCAACUAGACAGCCAAAUCCUCUGCAAGAACUUCUGCUGUUAAACCUGAUGUGAAACUCCAGAUUUUCCUUCCCUGCCUCAGCCUGUCACACAGGGGACACCUUCAGAGAGAGGGAUGGUGGCAGAGACCCCAGAAGCAAUUGAACAAGUCCAAGUUAAAACAGGCAGAAUGCCCCCAGCAGAGCAGCAAGGAGUCCUUACGGGUUUUUAUUCUGUAUGACAACAUUAUAAAGUGUUAUGCUUCAGGCAUCUGCCCCACAGCAACAUGGACAAGCACAGCCUAGCUGAGGGUGGCUCCUUCACAGGCCACUCCUCUGAACACUCCAGCAGCUAAGCACCUCCUCCUUAUUCCUAGCAAGUUAACUAAAACAGAAAGCCUGGAAGGUUGUUUUUGGUUUCUGUAGAUGUAUAACCACUAUCUUUCACAGUCGAUGAACCUUUGCAGUGGGACACCCAUGUUGUCUGGUGGACACUGGGGCUGGAUGUGCACAGAGAGCUGCCUGCACAGUCCCACUGCAGAGCUGUCCCUUCACUCAGCUCCACAUCUCCCACAC